ensembl:lncRNA
AAUCCAUCGCAGGGUGACUGUUUCACGGGAGGGUGAGGGUGAGUGUGGGGACUCAGCUCAUUGCUGCUCCAGGAUCUGGAGGCGAUUAGAUGCUGAACACCAGUAAAUCAUUUGCAUCACAAAUCUCCUCUUCACUGGAUGCUCAGCUCACCCAAGCUGUUGCUCAGACCCUCUCCUGCCUCCAUACAUUCCAUCAUCUUUGAAAGCAGCUUAAAAAUCAUCACAUUUCCUUGUCAGUGUGCAAAGUUGAGAUCCACCCAAGAAAACUGAGUUUGGAGCUGCUCCAGAGCUCCCAAGAGAUGUGGCCGACUUCCCUGGCAGGACGGGCCUCAGUUUCCCUGAGAUGGGCAGGUGGGAAGGUGAAGAUCCAAGGCACUGAGCUUCCAGCAUGUGUCUGAGAUUCGGUCCCUGCCUUGGAAUCCCUCACAGUCUCUAGUGGGAGAUGCACAGAGUGUUCAUGGG